rnacentral:lncRNA from 1 species
UUCUCGUCUCUUCUGUAGUCUCUUGUAUUCUAGAUGGGGUUGACGUAAUUUGUUUAACCCGUGAUUUCUGUUGAAAUUUUCUUAACAGAUUCGGAUUCAGAGAGUUCUUCAGGAAGUGAUUCUGAUGCUGAUAGUGUUCAACAGUCUCCUCUUGCUGGCUUAAGAGAAGCCCAUGGUGUAACUGGAAACCCCUGAGCUCCUUGAGGCAGCUGAUUUUGUUGGACAUCAUCAUCAAGUGUUUGAUGGGGUAGGGUUAUGCUUGGUUAAAGUUGUAGUUAGUGAUGUAAAAAGAACUGACUAGAAUCGAAGUUGUAGUAGUGUUAGGUUAGGUAUAAUAGAACAACUGAAAAGAAUGGUACGGUAGUUGAUUAGUCAUUGGUAGUUUAGUUGUUGGGAAAUGGGUGAACAGCCUAGAGGGUGAUGGUUGGGAGACCUUUUUUGUUUGUAUGACAUGUAAAACCACAUGAUUUUGCUAGUGGGUUUACAAUCAGCGUAUCAAAGAAAAUGUACAGAGAAAAUUAUCAAAUGGAAGUUUUGGCCUUCUAACCUUUUCGGAAAAAUUAAAGCACAACUCUCUGUAAUUUUCUUUCUUCUUGAAUUACCACGUAGCCCUGCGCAUCAUGAGACGGGGUCCAAGUAUAAAGCAUGCAAACUUGGAAAGCUACUACCGAAGAUUUUGUUCCAUCUGGUUACAUAUUAGUAGCAAAGUUGCCUGUCACCUGGAACUCAUUUUGGUAAAAGAAAUGAGUUUAAUUUUAGUCUCAAGAAACAAUAAUUAAUUACUAAUAUGCAUAUGAUUAAAGCAACAACAGAAUUACAACAAAGUAGUAUUAACAUCAAGAAAAAAAGUGGCAUGCUUAUCAUACCGCCAUUGUGUUGAAGCAUAGGUGAAAACCGUGAAAUGCAUAAAUUCAACAAAUGAACUAACAAUCUGAUUUCUCAUUGAACAUUACUCACCAUAUUGAGUUUUGCAUUGAAACAUUAAAAUUGAAGACUAAAUGAAAACAGAAAUCACAGCUCUACUAAAUGAGUAAUUCAUGCUCUAUAAUUGCAAUCUAACCAUGAAACUUAAUCAAAUUGCAUAUUCUUAUAUUUUCAUGGCAUGUAAAAGCACAUUUAUAAGGGGUACUCUACAACCGAAAAAUGUGAGAUGAAAUUUUCUCACAAGAGGUCUGUUGCCCUAUAUAUCCAGCAUUGUGAUUGACACUUGAAAAAAAAAACACCAAAUUGCCUUUUAUUGUUUACAAUAUUGUAAGAUGAAGAAAUUCUUGUGAUAAACCAUAGUUUUUAAAAUGUCUGCAGAAAUUCUUACGUUACCAACCUAACCAGAUAAUUUACUACAAGAUGUUGAAAACUCGUCUCUUUUCUGCAUGCAAAUGAAACCCGAGUUUCCAAGAGAAGCAAGAGAAGAAUAAUGCAUCUACUGUAGCUACAAAAUCAUCCAACGAAAAAUUUCAUCAAGAAAAAAAAAGGUACAGCCCCUACCUUAUUUUGCAAUAAUGUCAAAUCCAACUACAAAUACAAGCAACCAAACAGAUCCAUAGGUUUUCCUUGUUCCAAUUGACAUAUAAAGAAUCCUCUUGGACAAAAAGAUUAUAAUUUAUUAACAUAAAAGCAGAUUCUUAUAUAUGACCCUCCUUAGCAUUGUGCUCGUCUGUGUUGAAGUUGACCUCACUAACAUCAAGUUUCCUUAUUCAAUUUUUGAUCAUUUUGAAAGGGCUAUCAAGUUCCUUCAAAUUUUUUAAGUUGCCGAGUUUAAACUCUCCAUAAAAGUGGGAUCAACCAGUUUAUACUAUUAUGUUCUGUGACCCAACAUUUUGCAUAAGCUAGAUGUUAAGAAAUACUCCCACCAUUCCAUAUUAUAAGAUCAUUAUUAACUUUUGAAAGUCAAUUCAAGACUUUUUCAAACUCAAAAUUGAUGAUAAAUUUUACAAUGGGUAAUACUUUUUAUAUAGUUUACAAUAGUCAUCAUUGUAUUGACCAAAAUUAAAAUUUAAGGAAUUUAUGUUAAUUUUGAGUUUGAAAAUAUCUCAAGUUAAUUUCAAAAAGUCAAUAAAACUAUAUUUUGGAACGGAGGAAGUACUUAGUUUACAAAAAUGUGGGGCAAGAACCACUUGCAGUGUCUUAAUUAUGUUUCAACUUAAUUACAGAACUUCCAAUAACCAUCUCUUCAAAUUAAGCCAAGCUAAAACCUCAUUUCAAUUGGCACAUGUACUUAAUAAGAUUAGAUGGGAAAGAAAACUUGCUGCUCAACAUAGCAAACAUUUUAAUUCACAUAUGAAACAUUUCAACCAUUGUAAGAAGACCAUUACCUAGUGUUUCUCCCAAUUUGCCAUGGUUACUGGUAGAGACGAGUAGGGGUUAAACUAAACCUUCAACUUUGUCCAACAAAUUGGCUGCCCCCGUGCUUGUUUUCUGAUUCUCGCAUUUAAUAGUUCAAAUAUUUUCCAUUUUACCAUGCAGUCCUCAUUCAACACUGAGAGAAAAGGGGAGUCAUAAACGUGAAAUUGUAUUACACCCAAUAAUCGUCAGUGUUGGUUACAGAAAAGCAUAAUGUUUUUCUCGAACAGAAGAUUGAAAGAUUUGACAAAACAACCUUGUAACACGGGCUGUAUUGUUUACCAAAGAGGAGCCCAUUGUAGGUGCAGCUAUAUUAAGAUCCAAUCUAUAAUACAAACUCCGGAACAAAUUAUGAGAAACUUGAUGACUCGCCAAAUAUAAACAAAAUAGAGAGAAAACUAGAGCAAUUUAUUCACACCGAUGUAUAUAAUGGUGUAUUUAAAUCCACUCCUCGUCUAAUGCUUUGAAUGCAAAACUGGUAAGUGUCAUAGCAUUAUUUAUACAGAACCAUUCUCAGAUACAAGAGUAAUUCAUCCAACUGGAGAGUAAAAUAAGCAAGAAAGCAGUGCUCAAGAUAACUGCAUAUUCUUCUUCUUAGAGGUAGGAUUUUAAGCUUGUCAUAAUUAACAGUGUUCUGCAGUAUCAUGGGUUGUAGAUUCCAAUUUCCAAAUGAGUAUUUAUCAAGACCAUUCAACAGAGUAAACAUAGAUGUGGUACUAAUCAUUUAGGAAUUCAAGAAAGAAUCAAAUUUUUUGCAAGAUCAGAUUGUUGAGCAAAAUACUCCUAAUAAGGAAAUGUUCAAUAGCAUCAAUUAGAAGAGAAAUAAAUACUGAGAGAGAUUUUUGGAACCUGAAUUUUUGCUUGUGGCAAAAUUAGUCUUGGAUCAGGUCUCAAAGAUUAAGCUUUUCCAAAUGAUAAAAGGAGCUUACUCAUAUACUAUUAAAAUUCCCAAAAAUAACAGAUCCGUAAGUGUGUGUGUGUGUGUGUGUGUGUGUAUAUAUAUAGUUUAAAAACUUCCAACUAUGCAUCCAUCCCUAAAUCAAACCAAAUGUUCAUGUAUAGUCAGGUCAAUGAUUUUUUUGAAUCCAGAAAUUUGAACAUAUUAGAAAAUUGUUAUCUUAAUUUAGCAUCUAUAUGUCACAAAUCACUCUAAAUCUCUAAUAUGAUAGAUUAUACUGAAAUAUCAACCUCAGGUUAGCAACCAUGGGAAUAUAAUAACCUGGGAUAGGAAAAAAAUUCAAGCAAUGCUUUUCUGCCCAAGUAUCCAAACACAAUCUAUUAACUGGAUAUACAAUCAGAUCAUAAAAGAACAUGACUAAGUACAAGUACUAAUAACCACGAGCUAAUUAGCCAGAGGGAGAGCAGUAAAAAAUAGAAUUUUUUUCACACACAGAGAGAGAGAGAUGAAUGAACUUACUGAAAUGGAAACUUGUUGAUAUUCUUUUCAUCAUCUUCAGGGAGUCAUCAGUGAUAUGAAAUUAGGCUGAAAGAGAGAGAAUGAAGGCCAAGGGCAUCUAUUUCCCAUAUAAAGAUUUAAGGUUUUUUAAGGAGAUAAUCUCUCUCUCCCUCUCCCUCUCCCUCUCUCCCUCUCUCCCUCUCUCCAAUUUAAGAGUGGAUUGAAACAAACCUGCCAUAUUAUUAAGUUUAACCUAAAAAUUCUAAUGAAGGAAAUAAAUCACCACGUAAACCAAAAGGGACUUUAAAGCAAAUAUGAGAUUUCUAAUUUUCAUUAAUAAGCAGUUAAGGUGUGAUCAUCAAAUAAAAAAUGCUGGAAAAUCUAAGACAGAAAGAGCACUCUUGAAGAAAUCCCUAUCAAUUACUCCAUAUUUAAUUUGUGUGGAAAUUCCCCCUGAAUAAUACUACUUAAUAGUCAUCAGAACCUAAGGAGAUGGUAAUAUUCACAGAUCUACUUAUUUGGGUCACCCUUUUACCAGAUAAGCAAAAGGAGAAAAAUAGCAAGUGUAGUGUGUUACUAUUAAAUUACAAUAAAUAUGUGUAAUGUGACUGCAUUUAUUAAAAUUGAAGUAUGAAUAUUGAACGAGAUGGGUCAAAAAAAAGCUUAAAU